rnacentral:rRNA from 1 species
CCAAUAGCGUAUAUUAAAGUUGUUGCAGUUAAAAAGCUCGUGGUUGAAUUUUAGGCCUGACCGGGCGGUCCGUCUCUGGCGAGUACUGUUCUGUUGUCGGGUCUAUCCUUCUGGUGAGCCGGUAUGUCCUUUAUUGGGUGUGUCGGGGAACCAGGACCAUUACCUUGAAAAAAUUAGAGUGUUUAAAGCGGGCUUUUGCUUGAAUAGAUUAGCAUGGAAUAAUAGAAUAGGACGUUGGUUCUAUUUUGUUGGUCUAGGACCACCGUAAUGAUUAAUAGUGAUAGUUGGGGGCAUUAGUAUUCAAUUGUCAGAGGUGAAAUUCUUGGAUUUAUUGAAGACUAACUACUGCGAAAGCAUUUGCCAAGGAUGUUUUCAUUAAUCAAGAACGAAAGUUAGGGGAUCGAAGACGAUCAGAUACCGUCGUAGUCUUAACCAUAAACUAUGCCGACUAGGAAUCGGGCGACGUUAUUUUCAUGACUCGCUCGGCGCCUUAUG